GCCACAAAAAGUAAAGUGAUCAUUGCUGCUGCUGCUGCUGCUAAGUUGCUUCAGUCAUGAUCACUAGAAGGAGAUAAAGAGAUAGGACAUGUUGGAAGAAAAAGAGAAGUCAAAAGUACAGAAGAAAGGAAGAACACUUGAUUUAAGUAAGGUUCCCAAAGAAAUGGAAAGAUGUGAUUCAAAGAACAGAUGGAAGGAUUUGAAAGGCAGAAGGACAACCACUUAGCUAAAAUAUAAAGAAAAAGCAGGGAACAUGCUCUGCUGCUGCUGCUGCUAAAUCGCUUCAGUCGUGUCCAACUCUGUGCGACCCCAUAGACGACAGCCCACCAGGCUCCCCCAUCCCUGGGAUUCUCCAGCACAUUUGGAUUUUGUGUCUCAUGAUGCUGCCAAAUGGGGGUCUACUGACUGGGAGAGGAACAGGAAUCUGGAGUCACUGAGCUGGUCAGUCAAGGGAAGUGGAGGAAGAGAGGUGGAAAAAUGGCGGACACCGUGGCGCACCGCCCCACCCCUGCAGCCAUGUUUUCCCAUAGGUUCUACGUGAUUUACCCUGGGAGGAAAAGCUGAGUUCCUGGAGCUGUUAUCCUGCACAGGAAAUGAGAGAAACACAAGGCAGAAGGGGUGACUGGGCCUUCAUACAUUUGCUUACAAUCUGGCUCCAGUCCAGGGUGAAACUGGAAGAGCUGGAGAUUUUCCCAAGGCACCCAGGUUGGAGUGCAGUUCGUCUGUUUGGACAGCAUUGCUGGUGCUUCUCGAACCAGGCUCAGGACUGGGGGGUGGGCAGUAGGUGGUUAUCAGUGUGCAGCAGGGCUGGAUCAAGGUUGUGGAGGUUUCCUGUGCUGAACUAUGCUGUAAUCCUUUCCCUUUAUGUGUUGCAAAAUAAAACGAUAUUAAAUUGC
rnacentral:lncRNA from 1 species